AUUGAACGCUGGCGGAAGGCUUAACACAUGCAAGUCGGGCGGGGGAAGGUAGCUUGCUACCGGACCUAGCGGCGGACGGGUGAGUAAUGCUUAGGAAUCUGCCUAUUAGUGGGGGACAACAUCUCGAAAGGGAUGCUAAUACCGCAUACGUCCUACGGGAGAAAGCAGGGGAUCGUCGGACCUUGCGCUAAUAGAUGAGCCUGAGUCGGAUUAGCUAGUUGGUGGGGUAAAGGCCGACCGAGGCGACGAUCUGUAGCGGGUCUGAGAGGAUGAUCCGCCCAACUGGGACUGAGACACGGCCCAGACUCCUACGGGAGGCAGCAGUGGGGAAUAUUGGACAAUGGGGGGAACCCUGAUCCAGCCAUGCCGCGUGUGUGAAGAAGGCCUUAUGGUUGUAAGGCACUUUAAGCGAGGAGGAGGCUCUUUUGGUUAAUACCCAAGAUGAGUGGACGUUACUCGCAGAAUAAGCACCGGCUAACUCUGUGCCAGCAGCCGCGGUAA
rnacentral:rRNA from 1 species